GUCGCAUUGGCGCAAUGGUAGCGCGCAAGACUUCUAACAAGGAAUUAUCUUGAGGCUGUGGGUUCGAGCCCCACAUGCGAUG
rnacentral:tRNA from 2 species